UACCAGCACCCCGAGUGGUCGGGACGUUUAUUGGGCCUAAAGCAUCCGUAGCCGGUUCUACAAGUCUUCCGUUAAAUCCAACUGCUUAACAGGUGGGCUGCGGAAGAUACUAUAGAGCUAGGAGGCGGGAGAGGCAAGCGGUACUCGAUGGGUAGGGGUAAAUCCGUUGAUCCAUUGAAGACCACCAGUGGCGAAGGCGGC
rnacentral:rRNA from 1 species